UACGUAGGUCCCGAGCGUUGUCCGGAUUUAUUGGGCGUAAAGCGAGCGCAGGUGGUUUAAUAAGUCUGAUGUAAAAGGCAGUGGCUCAACCAUUGUGUGCAUUGGAAACUGUUAGACUUGAGUGCAGAAGAGGAAAGUGGAAUUCCAUGUGUAGCGGUGAAAUGCGUAGAUAUAUGGAGGAACACCGGUGGCGAAAGCGGCUCUCUGGACUGUAACUGACACUGAGGCUCGAAAGCGUGGGUAGCAAACAGG
rnacentral:rRNA from 1 species